GUCUUUGCGCUUGGGGCAAUGAUGCAGCUCAUGAGGUUCUAACCGAGGCGCGUCUAUUGCUGGUUGAAAACUAUUUCCAAACCCCCUCUUAGGCUUGGGCUUGCCCGCGGCCUUAGAGAAUUUCUGGAAGGGCUUCCUUCGGGGUAAAGCC